ACUCAAAUGAAUUGACGGGGGCCCGCACAAGCGGUGGAACAUGUGGUUCAAUUCGACGCAACGCGAAGAACCUUACCUGGGCUUGAACCGCACAGGACCAUUCCUAGAAAUAGGGACUUCCCGCAAGGGACCUGUGUAGAGGUGCUGCAUGGCUGUCGUCAGCUCGUGCCGUGAGGUGUUGGGUUAAGUCCCGCAACGAGCGCAACCCUUACUCGUAGUUGCCACCCGCAAGGGGGAACUCUACGAGGACUGCUCCGGAUAACGGAGAGGAAGGUGGGGAUGAGGUCAAGUCAGCAUGGCCUUUAUGUCCAGGGCUACACACGUGUUACAAUGCGCGCUACAAUGCGUCGCGAACCCGCGAGGGGGAGCUAAUCGCAAAAAAGCGCGCUCAGUUCGGAUUGCAGUCUGCAACUCGACUGCAUGAAGCUGGAAUCGCUAGUAAUGGCGCAUCAGAACGGCGCCGUGAAUACGUUCCCGGGCCUUGUACACACCGCCCGU
rnacentral:rRNA from 1 species